rnacentral:lncRNA from 1 species
AGAAAAGAAGAAGGGUGGCAUGGCAGAGAGGAAGGGAAGGGGCGCUUGUGUAGCAUGUGUAGCAUGUGCUGUAUGUUUUUAGUUCAAGGGUUUCUCUCUACUUCUCUGUGGGCAAUGAUAGGAGGAAGAGGGAUUCCGAUGAAGAGAGAGGAGGUUUGAGCAGGGAUGAAUCUUCUUCUUUUUGGUCCAAGACCAAUAAUAGUGAAGAGGGAGAAAUGGAAGUAAUGGCUUUGAAACUUCUUGUGCUUUUCUCUUUGGCUUCUUCUUGCCCUGCAAGCAACAAUGUGAGGAGCGCAUCGCAGAGUGAGAGAGAGGAUGAUGUCUUAGAGCGAAAA